rnacentral:rRNA from 1 species
AACCAGAAAGCCACGGCUAACUACGUGCCAGCAGCCGCGGUAAUACGUAGGUGGCAAGCGUUGUCCGGAAUUAUUGGGCGUAAAGGGCUCGCAGGCGGUUCCUUAAGUCUGAUGUGAAAGCCCCCGGCUCAACCGGGGAGGGUCAUUGGAAACUGGGGAACUUGAGUGCAGAAGAGGAGAGUGGAAUUCCACGUGUAGCGGUGAAAUGCGUAGAGAUGUGGAGGAACACCAGUGGCGAAGGCGACUCUCUGGUCUGUAACUGACGCUGAGGAGCGAAAGCGUGGGGAGCGAACAGGAUUAGAUACCCUGGUAGUCCACGCCGUAAACGAUGAGUGCUAAGUGUUAGGGGGUUUCCGCCCCUUAGUGCUGCAGCUAACGCAUUAAGCACUCCGCCUGGGGAGUACGGUCGCAAGACUGAAACUCAAAGGAAUUGACGGGGGCCCGCACAAGCGGUGGAGCAUGUGGUUUAAUUCGAAGCAACGCGAAGAACCUUACCAGGUCUUGACAUCCUCUGACAAUCCUAGAGAUAGGACGUCCCCUUCGGGGGCAGAGUGACAGGUGGUGCAUGGUUGUCGUCAGCUCGUGUCGUGAGAUGUUGGGUUAAGUCCCGCAACGAGCGCAACCCUUGAUCUUAGUUGCCAGCAUUCAGUUGGGCACUCUAAGGUGACUGCCGGUGACAAACCGGAGGAAGGUGGGGAUGACGUCAAAUCAUCAUGCCCCUUAUGACCUGGGCUACACACGUGCUACAAUGGACAGAACAAAGGGCAGCGAAACCGCGAGGUUAAGCCAAUCCCACAAAUCUGUUCUCAGUUCGGAUCGCAGUCUGCAACUCGACUGCGUGAAGCUGG